GACGAACGCUGGCGGCGUGCCUAAUACAUGCAAGUAGAACGCUGAAGAGAGGAGCUUGCUCUUCUUGGAUGAGUUGCGAACGGGUGAGUAACGCGUAGGUAACCUGCCUUGUAGCGGGGGAUAACUAUUGGAAACGAUAGCUAAUACUGCAUAACAAUGGAUGACACAUGUCAUUUAUUUGAAAGGGGCAAUUGCUCCACUACAAGAUGGACCUGCGUUGUAUUAGCUAGUAGGUGAGGUAAUGGCUCACCUAGGCGACGAUACAUAGCCGACCUGAGAGGGUGAUCGGCCACACUGGGACUGAGACACGGCCCAGACUCCUACGGGAGGCAGCAGUAGGGAAUCUUCGGCAAUGGGGGCAACCCUGACCGAGCAACGCCGCGUGAGUGAAGAAGGUUUUCGGAUCGUAAAGCUCUGUUGUAAGUCAAGAACGGGUGUGAGAGUGGAAAGUUCACACUGUGACGGUAGCUUACCAGAAAGGGACGGCUAACUACGUG
rnacentral:rRNA from 1 species